GCUCGAGGAGAAGAAGGAGAGCAAACUCCUCAAGUUCCUUGGCUUCAUGUGGAACCCGCUCUCAUGGGUCAUGGAGAUGGCUGCCAUCAUGGCUAUUGCGCUAGCCAACGGUGAUGGAAAACCUCCGGACUGGCAGGACUUUGUUGGGAUUGUCGUUCUCCUUGUGAUCAACUCGACAAUCAGCUUCAUUGAAGAGAACAAUGCGGGAAAUGCUGCUGCUGCUCUGAUGGCUGGACUUGCUCCCAAGACAAAGGUUCUUCGAG
rnacentral:misc_RNA from 1 species